AGAAUGAACGUUGGCGGCGUGGAUUAGGCAUGCAAGUCGUACGGGCCGCAAGGCCAGUGGCGCAAGGGUGAGUAAGGCGACGGUAACCAACCCCAUGACUGGGUAUAGCCGCGGGAAACCGCGGGUAAUCCCCAGCGACGUCCGGGGGGGGCAUCCCCCCGGGACCAAAGCUCCGGCGUCGUGGGACGGGCCGUCGUGGUAUUAGCUGGUUGGCGGGGUAACGGCCCACCAAGGCUGCGAUGCCUACCGGGCGUGCGAGCGUGGCCCGGCACACUGGGACUGAGACACUGCCCAGACUCCUACGGGAGGCUGCAGUCGAGAAUCUUCGGCAAUGGGCGCAAGCCUGACCGAGCGACGCCGCGUGGAGGACGAAGGCCUUCGGGUUGUAAACUCCUGUCGAGGGGGAAGAAGGCCCGAAAGGGGCUUGACUGAUCCCUGGAGGAAGCACGGGCUAAGUUCGCGCCAGCAGCCGC
rnacentral:rRNA from 1 species